GACGAACGCUGGCGGCGUGCUUAACACAUGCAAGUCGAACGGAAAGGCCCUGCUUUUGUGGGGUGCUCGAGUGGCGAACGGGUGAGUAACACGUGAGUAACCUGCCCUUGACUUUGGGAUAACUUCAGGAAACUGGGGCUAAUACCGGAUAGGAGCUCCUGCUGCAUGUUGUGGGUUGGAAAGUUUCGGCGGUUGGGGAUGGACUCGCGGCUUAUCAGCUUGUUGGUGGGGUAGUGGCUUACCAAGCCUUUGACGGGUAGCCGGCCUGAGAGGGUGACCGGCCACAAUGGGACUGAGAUACGGCGCAGAAUCCUACGGGAGGCAGCAGUGGGGAAUAUUGCAGAAUGGGCGGAAGCCAGAUGCAGCAACGCCGCGUGCGGGAUGACGGCCUUCGGGUUGUAAACCGCUUUCGACGGUGACGAAGAGUGAGUGACGGUAAUGGGUAAAGAAGCACCGGCUAACUACGUG
rnacentral:rRNA from 1 species